rnacentral:siRNA from 1 species
UUUGAAUAUUUCUUGAGCC